AACGUAGGGUGCAAGCGUUGUCCGGAAUUACUGGGUGUAAAGGGAGCGCAGGCGGAUUGACAAGUUGGGAGUGAAAACUACGGGCUCAACCCGUAACCUGCUUUCAAAACUGUCAGUCUUGAGUGGUGUAGAGGUAGGCGGAAUUCCCGGUGUAGCGGUGGAAUGCGUAGAUAUCGGGAGGAACACCAGUGGCGAAGGCGGCCUACUGGGCACUAACUGACGCUGAGGCUCGAAAGCAUGGGUAGCAAACAGG
rnacentral:rRNA from 1 species